rnacentral:lncRNA from 1 species
CUUUAAUUCCACUCUGGUUGCAGCAUGUGGAGGGGGUGGCGAUUCUACCGCCGGGUUUGGCGCAAGUAAACCCGGUUUGACAGUUUGGUCAGUGAUAGUCUGGAUUGGAGGUGCGAAUUUGAUUGAUUAAUUAUGAACCCGUGAAGUUAAUUGAAGUCGCUGUCAUUCCCCUGCCUUGAAAAGCGAAGAUGGAGGUUGCAGCUGGAAUGGCAUCCGCUGUGUAAAACAUUUGCUGGAUUGGCGGUUCAUUCAUCCUGACUAUAUCAGACUGUAUCUGUCCACAAGCAAGUAUUUUUUAUAUUGUACAGUUUGUUGAAUAUUUAAUAAUAGUAUUGAAAUAAGGCAGUGGUAAACUUAUUCUGAUGUUUUGAUCUUGCCUUGCAAACCUUUUUAAGUCACGUUUUUUUAAGGAGGAAAGAAAAUUGAAGAACGCUGUAAUAUACAUAUAUAUAAAUGAUUUAACCCACUUAGUUAUUUCUGUAAAUCUUUAAAAAGUUAACUUUUGGCUCACCAAUUCCGUUUGCA